UGAGCAAUCUGCCCUUCUCUUCGGAAUAAGCGUUGGAAACGACGUCUAAUGCCGAAUACGACCUCCUUUCGCAUGAUCGGAGGUGGAAAGCUCCGGCGGAGAAGGAUGAGCUCGCGACCUAUCAGCUAGUUGGUGUGGGUAAUGGCCCACCAAGGCGACGACGGGUAGCCGGCCUGGAGGAGGGUGACCCGGCCACACGUGGGACUGAGACACGGCCCAGACCUCCGUACGGGAGG
rnacentral:rRNA from 1 species